rnacentral:lncRNA from 1 species
AAUGUUAAAAAUAACUUAAUAUUAUUAGUCUUCUAGAUUGACUAUAUUAUUUUCUAAAUACUAAAUUCAAAGGAUAUUAUAGUCAACAAAAGGUUUUGGUGUUUUCCUUUUAAAAAUUUGGGGAUCUUUGUGACUAUUUUCUCAAUUUUUAUGAGUGUAGGUGUCCUUUUUCUUAAAAAAUUGAAUUUGUUUUCAUUCCUUCUCUAGGGUGUAGCAUGUCAUAGAGCACAUGUACAUUCACCAAUGGAAGCACGAUGAAGAACUCAACACUAGGUUGAACUGCGUUUGUGUUGAAAAUAUAAGUUAUUAUAAUAAAAUUUUCAAAUCUUUGAAGUUGAAAGCAUUUAUAAUGGAAACUCUUUUACCAUUUAUGAAUGGACUUAAUUGAGGAGAAAAUAAGCGAUAACAAGAGUUUGUGUUAACAAGGAGUAGGUCAAUAAGAAAAAUAUAUUUUGUAUUACUAAGAGUUGGAAAAACAGAUAAAGAAAAAAAAAAGGCUGUUGAUAUUAUACUAAAAAACACUGUAAGAGCGGAGAUACAUAAGUCUGAAGUUUAAUUAAGGAUAUUUUGUAAUUAUAAGAGAUUAAGAGUGUUAUAAGAAAUUUAUAUUAUUUAAAACAUUUUAAUAAGGUAAAUAAAAAAAAAGAGAGAUUUAAAAGGUUCUUAGAGAGUGCCAAUAGUUCAACUCUAGAAAUUAACAACUUCAAAUUAAUUAAAAGUCUCAAUCGUAGGUGAACUCAUUGUUGUCAUCAUCCAAAUAGUUCAAUUAAAAUUAGUGUCGUCUCUUAAUCCAAUUAAAAUUCUUGCUUGAAAGAAGAGAUCGAUGGUCCAAAGUUGUAUUAAUUAAUUUUGACUUUGAACUUAGCAUGGAGGAGAAUUAAUCAAGUUGUGUGAAUAAAAUAUAGUCUUGGCUCCUUCAAGGCUCAUGUAUGUGUCACAUACAUCUAUUGUUAACUUUUUUUUAUCAAUUAAUUACUUGAUUAAUUAAGGCUUACGUGUCACACGCUACUCCCCGUUUAAACAUUUACGUAAUCUUUUUGAUUAAUUGAUCAAUUCAGAAGUCCUUUCCAAUUUAUUCAAGUGAAAUGGCUAGUAAGGUUUACAUUCACAAUUUUAGCAUUGUUGAUUUAUAGAAGUCAAUUUAUUUAAUUAAUUGAUUAAUUGAGAAUGUAAAUUGUUUGAAUGCCUAAGGUGGAUAACAUGUAAGAAUAGUUCUAGUCGACAAAAUUUGAAUUGCCAAUAGAGGGGGCUUUACAAAUUAGUAUUAAAAUCAGACUAGUGUAUGUUUUUUUUUUUUUUGAUUUAAUGUAGUAAGUUAUAGAGUACGUUUGGGAUUGAGGUUAGACAGAUAUACCUUAAAAGAUACAUCAUUAAAGUGUUUGGUAAACACUACCUGCUGUACCUUGAAAGCUAUGUUGAUAUAAAUUUUCACUUAUAUAAUAGAAAAUCUAUUAUAUCUUUAAUAAUUUUGUUAAAAUUAUUAUUUAAAAUUUAUAUUUAUUAUAUAUUAUUAAUUUUUUUUUCAUAAUUAUAACUUUUUUUUUAACAGCACCUCAAACCAUAGUCAAUAGAUUCGUACUGGUUUCGGCAACUGAAGUCGACUACUCAGAUAGCCCAUAGAUUUAUUGACAUUUUCCCCGUAACAGAAAUAAAACGCGUGCAUAUCUUUGAGACAUUUUCGCCUUAUUUUUUGGUUGCAUCGAAUAAGUAUAAAAUUAAGGUGGCCGUCUCUUUGAGACAAAAGAGAGCCUCUUGGAAGCACAUCAUUCCCAAACUGCAUUGUUUUAAUUUAUAAGCCGAAAUUCAAUCAAACUCACUCUUAUUUAAAUAAGAGUUUAUUUAAAUUGGGGAUUUGUAGUUAAUGCCCACAUCGAAUUGGGGAUUUGUAACUCAAAAUUGGGGAGUUUUCAAUCCAUGCCAUUAUCUGGGAUUAUCAAUACAAAAUUUGGGGAAAAGAUACAACAUACAUUCCAAAUUUUAAUUUUUUAAACUUAUGUCACAAAAGUAUAUAUUUUGGACAAUUUGAUUUUUUUUUUGUUAUCGGAUAAAAUAUAGUCAAAUUAUAUUAUGUUUAAACAACAUUAGUGAUCAAUUAUGGUCAAGAGACUUAUGUAAAGAAUUGGAUAAAAUUAAUUAAUUGCUAAACUUUCUCUUUAUUUUAAAAUUUGAAAAAUAAUGUGAUCUUUUAUAAAUUAUUUCUUGAUAUAGUGUGGAUUUACAUAUAUUGUAGCUCUCUACCCUUAUUUAAUAGUCCAUUUAUUAUUAAUUACCCGAAAUGCCCUUUCUAAGUUUAUGAAAUUUUUAAAACAGAAAAGUUAUCUACUCUUUUGUUGUGUUUACUUUCUGGAGUGGGAGUGAGAAAUGUAGAUUUCUUCCACUCCAGUAUUUACUUUAACAUUUUAAGAGAGAAUUGAGAAUCUCACUUCAUGAGCUCCACCUAUUUUUGGAGUGGGCAGUGGGAGUAGGACUCCCAUGGGGAGAGGUGGGAGUGGAUCCUUUUGUACUCUCUUUUU